rnacentral:rRNA from 1 species
ACUGCUCAGUAACACGUGGACAAUCUGCCCUGAAGUGGAGAAUAAUCCCGGGAAACUGGGGGUAAUACUCCAUAGUUCGUUAUUACUGGAAUGUUUUUCGAACGAAAGAUCCGUCGCUUCAGGAUGAUUCUGCGGCCGAUUAGGUAGUUGUUGGGGUAAUUGCCCAACAAGCCUGUAAUCGGUACGGGUUGUGGGAGCAAGAGCCCGGAGAUGGAUUCUGAGACACGAAUCCAGGCCCUACGGGGCGCAGCAGGCGCGAAAACUUUACCAUGCGGGCAACCGUGAUAAGGAAACCCCGAGUGCCAGCACAGGCUGGCUGUCCGCCAGUUUAAACAACUGGCGAAGAAAGGGCCGGGCAAGACCGGUGCCAGCCGCCGCGGUAAUACCGGCGGCUCGAGUGGUGGCCGCUAUUACUGGGCUUAAAGGGUCCGUAGCUUGAUAAUAGGGUCCCUUGAGAAAUCCGCCGGCUUAACUGGCGGGCGUUCAGGGGAAACUUGUUUUCUAGGGACCGGGAGAGGUGAGGGGUACUGCCGGGGUAGGAGUGAAAUCCUGUAAUCCCGGUGGGACCACCUAUGGCGAAGGCAUCUCACCAGAACGGGUCCGACAGUGAGGGACGAAAGCUGGGGGAGCAAACCGGAUUAGAUACCCGGGUAGUCCCAGCUGUAAACUAUGUGCGUUAGGUGUGUCAGUGACCACGUGUCACUGAGGUGCCGAAGGGAAACCGUGAAACGCACCGCCUGGGGAGUACGGUCGCAAGGCUGAAACUUAAAGGAAUUGGCGGGGGAGCAC